AGUCAUUUAAUUGAUGACUUGNAUGAAANAUUGGAUGAAGUGUAGACUGUCUNUUAAUUAUUAGNGNAAAAUUUAAUUUUUUAAUUAAAAAGUUAAAAUAAUUUAAAAAGACGAGAAGACCCNAUAGAGUUUUAUARAUAGAUUAAUUAAGAUUAUUUGAAAUUUAAAAUUGAAAUUAGNUUAUUUAUUANAUUGGGGGGAUAGAAAAANANACAUAACUUUUUUUUUUAURAAAACAUUUAUAAGUGAUUAAAUGAUCCNAUAUUAUUGAUUAUAAGAAAAAAUUACCUUAGGGAUAACAGCGUAAUUUUUUUUUUUAGUUCGUAUAAAAAAAAGAGUUUGCGACCUCGAUGUGGAUUAAGAAAAAUUUAAAUU
rnacentral:rRNA from 1 species